rnacentral:ncRNA from 1 species
GAUAAAGCGAUGAAGGAAAGAAGUAGCUGUAAAAUUCAUUCAGAGAGCUAGUGGUUGGUGGAAACUAGUUGAAAAAUAUAGCGAAAUACAUUCUUGAGCUGUAGGCUGAACAAAUCUAUUGUUUAAGUAGGCUGAUCCGUAUUUUCUACGUUACAGAAAAUAAAGAGAAUUCUAUUUAUUUAUAAUAUAAGUAGAUGGAAUUAAGUAGGGUGGUACCGCGUAUUACACAUUCGUCCCUGUA